GACAAUGAAUCGUUGUUGUACUGCGAUGAAGAGGUUAAGUUUCCGUCGAUACUGAUUUUCUCUCUGAGUAUACCGAAUUUCUUUACCGGCUGAUCUAUUGCAUAGGAUUCGCGAUACUGGUUUUUAAACCGGUUUGGCUCGUUACUGCGCAAACUACAUAGACGCGUCUACAACAUUCUACUAACAUGAAAAAAAUCGUUAUCAAUGUUUUCACGGAUUUAAAAAAUAUGGGAGAUCAAGCAAUUAUUCUAAAAGUAACUCUAACACAAACUAUCCGACAAGAACAUAAAAUAUAGUUUGAAGUAUUCUUUCGUUCCAUCGACGGUGGACAGGCGGCGUAUGGUUGUCAGAAAGCAACGCGGGAUAAUCGCAUUGCGCAGACCGAAACUAGCAAAAAUAACAUUUUGCUGCGAGGCCAUGAACCAUUAUACUAUGUAUAGUUCGUUCAGAGACGUAUCGAAGUCAUAAAUUAUUAUAUCAAUCGGUUGUACGAUUGUCGCUAUAAUGAUAUUUCUUAUAUCGUCGGAACAUUUUUCUAAAUUGAUUUCAUAACCUCUCUAUGUCUUUAACAGAUAUCUAGUGUAUAUACGUAUAUUGGAAUAUAAAGUUUGCCCAAAAAACAAUUAUCAAGAGUCAGCAUAUAUAAUAUUUUACGGCAGCAUUACAAUAAUUUACGAAAAAUAUCGUAACAUCGUUGUAGUAUCAUUUUCUUCAAAAGACGAAAACGAGCGAAGGCGAGCGUGCAUUGACGCCGCCCGAUACUGGGUGGUAAGUCCAUCGGUGCAUCGUGGUGCAAUCAGUUGUAGCAACAACGAUAUUAUAUUGGUAGUGGUGCAUCGUUUACGGUAGAGGGGGCGAAAGUAUGACGAGAAGAGCAACGAAAUGGUUGAAGGGUGGGAGGAAGAAGGAGAUUGUUAAGUUAUGUUAGUCGAUAUACGGGUUUGUUUGCGUAGUCAGUGACGGUGUAGGAGAGCGCGCAGCAACUGGGAGAGUAAAACGGCGCAUGAAAAGAGAAAAAGAAGAAGAGGGAGGCGAAGUUGCGACCAGGGUGCCAGGGGGUCUGGCCCAAGCCUGUUUGUCGGUCCCGUUGCCCUAUAAUCGUGGUAUACGGAUAAUGGUUUGGGUUAAGGGGACGUCAGGAUGGGCCGUGCUAGAGGGGAACACGAGAGGAAAGGGAUCAGAGUAAAGAACGUGUAUAGAAGAGCCGGCAGCAGCGGCGUCGAGACAGAGUAGUCUCGAACGUCCUGUACUUUCGUAGACGAAAAGGACGAGCCGACGCACACCCAAUCGAGCGAAACUUUCGCUGGCUCGGCUUACCCGUCGUUUGGCAAAGCUUUUCUUCGAUCUUGUCCUGUCCAGAGAACCAAGCGAUGAUUUCUGGCCCAGCUAUGGUAGCUUGAAAAUGUAAUUACCGAGAAAGCCCAGUGGAGAAUAUUCUGCUGAUGCUGGAACACUUGAGGAAUAGCUGUUGAAAAAUAUAAUAUUUUGCUCGUAUUUGGCUGAUUCAAAUACAUUUUUAUAAAAUUUGAAUGAUGUAUAGUUUUAUUAUACUGGAAAUUAAUUAAUUCGGUGAAGGAUGAAUGAGAUAAUAGAUGAAAUAAUUUUCGUGAUUUACAUGCUUGCAUAAAAUUGAUUCAGAAUCUGUUUUCAGGAAACUAAAGCCACGAGGAAACUUUUUUUACAAUUAUAAUUUUUCCACACAUCAAUACAAAGUUUUAUAUUACGAAUAAGGCACAAGAUGAAAACAACCAUGUAUGAAAGAUAACAUCAGAAGAAGUUGUAGCAUUGUCCAUCAUUGUCCAACAGGAGGCGGGAAAAAAAGGGAGGAGGAAAGGGAUGAUGGGGAUGGUGGAGAAGCGGCGGAUGGCGUCGGCGACAGCCGGCAGAGCCACGUCGUCGCCGUUGAACGGACGACGACGAAACGACGGGCAGGCUCUCUCGUGCAGACGAAACGUGUGGAGUGAGAGACGGAAAGGGAGAAAGAGACAGCCGGGCGCCGAUUCCAGCGACCGGCCGGCGCUAACCUCGACGCCAACCGUGGAACGUCGCCGACACCGUCGCCGCCGCUGGCCGACCCACGACACCACG
rnacentral:lncRNA from 1 species